GCCUCGCUAGCUCAGUGGAAGAGCAACUCCUUUGUAAGGAGAAGGUCAUCGGUUCGAUCCCGGUACGAGGCU
rnacentral:tRNA from 1 species